GUGGGGAAUAUUGGACAAUGGGCGAAAGCCUGAUCCAGCCAUGCCGCGUGUGUGAAGAAGGUCUUCGGAUUGUAAAGCACUUUAAGUUGGGAGGAAGGGCAGUAAGUUAAUACCUUGCUGUUUUGACGUUACCAACAGAAUAAGCACCGGCUAACUCCGUGCCAGCAGCCGCGGUAAUACGAAGGGUGCAAGCGUUAAUCGGAAUUACUGGGCGUAAAGCGCGCGUAGGUGGUUUUGUAAGUUGGAGGUGAAAUCCCCGGGCUCAACCUGGGAACUGCCUCCAAAACUGCAUGACUAGAGUACGGUAGAGGGUAGUGGAAUUUCCUGUGUAGCGGUGAAAUGCGUAGAUAUAGGAAGGAACACCAGUGGCGAAGGCGACUACCUGGACUGAUACUGACACUGAGGUGCGAAAGCGUGGGGAGCAAACAGGAUUAGAAACCCUGGUAGUCC
rnacentral:rRNA from 1 species